rnacentral:rRNA from 1 species
UACGUAGGGGGCAAGCGUUGUCCGGAAUCAUUGGGCGUAAAGAGCGUGUAGGCGGUCCGAUAAGUCCGCUCUGAAAGCCCGGGGCUCAACCCCGGGAGGCGGGCGGAUACUGUCGGGCUAGAGUCCGGAAGAGGCAAGUGGAAUUCCUGGUGUAGCGGUGAAAUGCGCAGAUAUCAGGAGGAACACCGAUGGCGAAGGCAGGUCUCUGGGCCACUACUGACGCUGAGAAGCGAAAGCAUGGGGAGCGAACAGG